UACAGAGGGUGCAAGCGUUAAUCGGAAUUACUGGGCGUAAAGCGAGCGUAGUCGGUUAUUUAAGUCGGAUGUGAAAUCCCCGGGCUCAACCUGGGAAUUGCAUUCGAUACUGGAUAGCUAGAGUUCGACAGAGGGAAGCGGAAUUUCGGGUGUAGCGGUGAAAUGCGUAGAUAUCCGAAGGAACGUCAGUGGCGAAAGCGGCUUCCUGGACCAGAACUGACGAUCAGGCUCGAAAGCGUGGGGAGCAAACAGG
rnacentral:rRNA from 1 species